GUGGUGGCUCAGUGGCAGAGUGCUUGCCUGGCAUGCAUAAGGCACUGGGUUCGAUCUUCAGCACCACA
rnacentral:tRNA from 1 species